GACGAACGCUGGCGGCGUGCUUAACACAUGCAAGUCGAACGGAAAGGCCCUGCUUUUGUGGGGUGCUCGAGUGGCGAACGGGUGAGUAACACGUGAGUAACCUGCCCUUGACUUUGGGAUAACUUCAGGAAACUGGGGCUAAUACCGGAUAGGAGCCCCUGCUGCAUGGUGGGGGUUGGAAAGUUUCGGCGGUUGGGGAUGGACUCGCGGCUUAUCAGCUUGUUGGUGGGGUAGUGGCUUACCAAGGCUUUGACGGGUAGCCGGCCUGAGAGGGUGACCGGCCACACUGGGACUGAGAUACGGCCCAGACUCCUACGGGAGGCAGCAGUGGGGAAUAUUGCACAAUGGGCGGAAGCCUGAUGCAGCAACGCCGCGUGCGGGAUGACGGCCUUCGGGUUGUAAACCGCUUUCGCCUGGGACGAAGCGUGAGUGACGGUAAUGGGUAAAGAAGCACCGGCUAACUACGUG
rnacentral:rRNA from 1 species